UUACGGCCAUAUUACUUUGAAACCCCGGUUCUCCUACGAUCACCGAAGUUAAGCAACUUUGAGCCUGGUCAGUACUCAAAUAGGUGACCGCUUGGGAAUACCAAGUGAUGUAAG